rnacentral:rRNA from 1 species
UGCAACCUGAGCUCAGUCGUGAUUACCCGCUGAACUUAAGC